AAGCAUUUAGGAAGUGCUUGCCUGGUUAAAUCACAAAUCUGAAUUUAACUAGUUCGUCAUGAGCUUGCCUGUGGGAUACCUGCAAGCU
rnacentral:sRNA from 1 species